CAUGGCUCAGGACGAACGCUGGCGGCGUGCCUAAUACAUGCAAGUCGAGCGGAACCAGAGGAGCUUGCUCCUUCUGGUUUAGCGGCGGACGGGUGAGUAACACGUGGGCAACCUGCCCUGCAGAUCGGGAUAACUCCGGGAAACCGGUGCUAAUACCGAAUAGUUUGCGGCCUCUCCUGAGGCUGCACGGAAAGACGGUUUCGGCUGUCACUGCAGGAUGGGCCCGCGGCGCAUUAGCUAGUUGGUGGGGUAAUGGCCUACCAAGGCGACGAUGCGUAGCCGACCUGAGAGGGUGAUCGGCCACACUGGGACUGAGACACGGCCCAGACUCCUACGGGAGGCAGCAGUAGGGAAUCUUCCGCAAUGGACGAAAGUCUGACGGAGCAACGCCGCGUGAGUGACGAAGGUUUUCGGAUCGUAAAACUCUGUUGUGAGGGAAGAACAAGUACCAACUAACUACUGGUACCUUGACGGUACCUCACCAGAAAGCCACGGCUAACUACGUGCCAGCAGCCGCGGUAAUACGUAGGUGGCAAGCGUUGUCCGGAAUUAUUGGGCGUAAAGCGCGCGCAGGCGGUCCUUUAAGUCUGAUGUGAAAGCCCACGGCUCAACCGUGGAGGGUCAUUGGAAACUGGAGGACUUGAGUGCAGAAGAGGAAAGUGGAAUUCCAUGUGUAGCGGUGAAAUGCGUAGAGAUGUGGAGGAACACCAGUGGCGAAGGCGACUUUCUGGUCUGUAACUGACGCUGA
rnacentral:rRNA from 1 species